rnacentral:misc_RNA from 1 species
CUGGUUUUCCAUAGUCCUAUUGAUUCUUGGUUGGUCUUUUAAAGAUCUGGGUUGAUGUCUUGUGUGGGGGGAUUUGCUGUUUUUUCACCUUGCACGACUUUGAUGAGAGAGGCACCCCUUGUUGUGCGAUCGUUGAAUGGUUUCUCGUCUCUCUUAACUCUAAAAGGUUGAUGGGCAACAAGGUUGAAGCUUAAAUUUUGCCAGA